rnacentral:rRNA from 1 species
CUUUGCUGACGAGUGGCGGACGGGUGAGUAAUGUCUGGGAAACUGCCUGAUGGAGGGGGAUAACUACUGGAAACGGUAGCUAAUACCGCAUAACGUCGCAAGACCAAAGAGGGGGACCUUCGGGCCUCUUGCCAUCGGAUGUGCCCAGAUGGGAUUAGCUUGUUGGUGGGGUAACGGCUCACCAAGGCGACGAUCCCUAGCUGGUCUGAGAGGAUGACCAGCCACACUGGAACUGAGACACGGUCCAAACUCCUACGGGAGGCAGCAGUGGGGAAUAUUGCACAAUGGGCGCAAGCCUGAUGCAGCCAUGCCGCGUGUAUGAAGAAGGCCUUCGGGUUGUAAAGUACUUUCAGCGGGGAGGAAGGGAGUAAAGUUAAUACCUUUGCUCAUUGACGUUACCCGCAAAAAAAGCACCGGCUAACUCCGUGCCAGCAGCCGCGGUAAUACGGAGGGUGCAAGCGUUAAUCGGAAUUACUGGGCGUAAAGCGCACGCAGGCGGUUUGUUAAGUCAGAUGUGAAAUCCCCGGGCUCAACCUGGGAACUGCAUCUGAUACUGGCAAGCUUGAGUCUCGUAGAGGGGGGUAGAAUUCCAGGU